rnacentral:rRNA from 1 species
AAAGGGCCGCGGUAAUUUGACUGUGCAAAGGUAGCAUAAUCAUUAGCUUUUUAAUUGAAAGCUGGAAUGAAUGGUUAGAUGAAAAAUUUACUGUCUUUUUAUAUUACAUAGAAAUUAACUUUUAAGUGAAAAGGCUUAGAUUUUUUGAAGGGACGAUAAGACCCUAUAAAACUUUUAUAUUUCGUUUUUACUAAAAAUAAAAAUCACUGUUUAAUUUAUUUAGUAAAACAAUUAUUUUGUUGGGGAGACACAGAUAUAAAAAUGAUAGAUAACUGUUUGUUAAAAUUUUAUAGUUUUUGCUUAGAUAUAGAUCCUAUAUUAUGGAUUUAAAGAUUAAGUUACUUUAGGGAUAACAGCGUUAUUCUCUUUGAGAGUUCUUAUCGACAAGAGUAGUUGCGACCUCGAUGUUGAAUUAAGGUUUCAUAAAGGCGCAGCCGUUUUUAUAGUGGGUCUGUUCGACCUUUAAAAUCCUACAUGAUUU